UAGGGAAUUUUCGGCAAUGGACGAAAGUCUGACCGAGCAACGCCGCGUGAGUGAAGAAGGUUUUCGGAUCGUAAAACCCUGUUGUUAGAGAAGAACAAGGACGUUAGUAACUGAACGUCCCCCGACGGUAUCUAACCAGAAAGCCACGGCUAACUACGUGCCAGCAGCCGCGGUAAUACGUAGGUGGCAAGCGUUGUCCGGAUUUAUUGGGCGUAAAGCGAGCGCAGGCGGUUUCUUAAGUCUGAUGUGAAAGCCCCCGGCUCAACCGGGGAGGGUCAUUGGAAACUGGGAGACUUGAGUGCAGAAGGGGAGAGUGGAAUUCCAUGUGUAGCGGUGAAAUGCGUAGAUAUAUGGAGGAACACCAGUGGCGAAGGCGGCUCUCUGGUCUGUACCUGACGCUGAGGCUCGAAAGCGUGGGGAGCAAACAGG
rnacentral:rRNA from 1 species